GCAUCGGUGGUUCAGUGGUAGAAUGCUCGCCUGGCACGCGGGCGAUUCGAUUCCCGGCCGAUGCA
rnacentral:tRNA from 1 species